CGUAGUUGGAGUUCAGAGUGAGCUCAGUUGGUCGGCCUAAUUGGUCAGAACUGGCUGACUCUCCCUUGUUUCUGAAUCCCGGUCGGAGUUAAUUCUUCGUUCGUGGACUUCAGAUCGUUUACCUUGAAAAAAUUAGAGUGUUCAAAGCGGGCGUUUGCUUGAAUACAUUAGCAUGGAAUAAUGGAAUAGGACUUUGGUUCUAUUUUGUUGGUUUUGAGGACCAGAGUAAUGA
rnacentral:rRNA from 1 species